AUUUCCGACGCUCCUGAACGCAACUUUGUUGUCCGACUGCAAAUGAAUGCACCAAUGACGUUAGUUUGAUCUUUUGAUUGUAUUUCGUUUGGAUUUGAAGAAGCUUUGAAGACGUUUCCUGAUGCCGGAGGAGAAGACGAGUAGCUUUGUACCUUUGCGAGUGAAAGCAGCAGUUCCUCCUGAAGGUCAGAGAUUGCAGCAUCUGAGGGCCUCUUCAAAAGAAGACGUAGUUGAUGAAGGCGUUCUGGAGCAGGACCAGAAAGACCACGACCAAGCAGCCUUGAGAUCUUAGGCAGCGUCUCCCUCAGGUCCCUCUCUAUUUCCCCACACAUCCACCAACCACUGGAACACAUCUCCAAAGUUCUGCUGGACCAGCUCAGCUUCCCCUCAGAAGAAGUGGCGCCACCUGCCAGAUGAAGGAGCCUUUUGAGAGUCAGCUGGCAUCGUGAUUGGACUGUACUUUGGUCUGUUCCAGUCCAGCUUCAGCUCCAGAGACGGCAGGCGGGACGAGUCAACGGAGGCCGAGUGGACGAAGACAUGAAGCUCAGUACAAUCCAGAAAACAACAGAGGAGGAGUGCAGCAGCCCAGAGCCAGAACAACCAGAGUAGCAUGACUAAAGAACUACAGACUCUUCACAACCUGCUCAAACUCUUGGUACAGGACCUCACCACACGGGUCAAGAAGGUUUCCAUCUCAUUUCUACUCUGAAGCUCACCUUCUCCUGCUCAAACUGCUGACAAAUGUUUCUGCUGCUCUAAAGUCUUGGCUCCAGAACUUCCUAAAAAGUCUCAAAGUCUCUUCUGCUGCAGGUUGCUUUGUAGAACUGUUCCAGAAAACCUCACUAAACCACAUGGAGGGGCCUCAAGAUAGUCGUCCAAAUGAAACCUUACAAAAACCAAACUAGCAAAACCCAAAUGCUAAAGUCUCCUGCAGCCUACCAGAAAACCUCUGAGAACAAAGAAUCAGGACAGAAACUCUUACCUUCUGGACAACCAACGUUGGUUCACCAACAAGAAUACAGAAUGUGUCUGAGCAAACACCUCUGAAGACUCACUACAGCCAAGAUAAAGACACAACUCAGCUGCACCAAAUCCACUAAUCACUGCACACAUUAGCACCAUGUGCUAACUGUGGCUACAGAACCACAUGUACCAAGACAACUAUCCAGUACAAAGCCCUAAAACACACCAAGAAACACAUUAAAGAUGAUUUUACUGCUGGAAGCUGCAAGCCAACACCUAAAGAACAAACAAAAGCAACGGAGCCCAACCUGGUUCACUAGUGAAGAGAAACAGAGGAAAUGUUUGUCUGCAGCUAAAUAAAGCAGGAAGACACUGAGCUGCUCAGGUGUUCCUGAUAACACCAAGCUGCUCAGGUGUUCCUGAUAACACCAAGCAGCCACCUGGACAGCCAAUAGGAACACAGCUUACUGGAAGUCCAGAGGGCUGGGUUAGUCAAGGAAAUUUAGUUUAAAGUUGAAGCAGAAAGUUAACAAAGAAAGUUGAAAACCACCUUCUGAUCCCUGAAAUCUCUGAGUUUUCACACAAAGAACACCUGAACAUGUCAAACUGGUUCCAUAGUAGAACCCUCAUUGUAAAAACGUCAUAGUAUGGUGUGUUGCUCAAAAAACAUUAGGACCCGGCUGUCUAGGGUCGCUGAUGAGCAACACAAAAACAGGACAAACGCUGGUCUCCAGGGGGUUAGGAGGCUAUUUAUUUGAAAGAGGAAGUUUACAACAACACAACAUGUGAGCAGAAAAAUCACAAAGUCUGUCUUUAGUUCAGCUGAAAAUAUUAGUUUUUGUCUUUUUUUAUUGACCAAACUUUUCAGGAAGUAGAUGAAGAAUAAUUAAAGCUCUCAUGUAGAAGUCCAGCUUAUUCUGGAUCCUUGUGGAGAGUUUGAUCUUACAGUUUGUAAAGCUGUUGAGUUUUUAGAGUCACAUGGAUUGUUUUAAUAACCGAGUCCUGAAAUAAAAUUACAGUUGUGGAUUUCUGUCAUUUAGUUUGGAAUAAACAAAUGACAGCAGCAUGAA